ACCUGGCUCACACCGGUUUAAACUCAGAUCAUGUAAAAUUUUAAAGGUCGAACAGACCUAAUUUACCAGCUACUGCACCAGUAAUUAAUUUUAAUCCAACAUCGAGGUCGCAAUCUAUUCUUUUGAUACGAACUCUAAGAAAAAUUACGCUGUUAUCCCUAAGGUAAUUUAUUCUUUUAAUCUACACUUUAGGAUCAUAAACUUACAAAUUAAUAUAAAAAUAUAGAAAAGUUAAAUUAAUUUUCCCAUCACCCCAAUAAAAUAUAUAAAACUCUAUAGGGUCUUCUCGUCUUCUAUAGAAAUCUAAGCUUUUUCACUUAAAAAUAAAAUUUUAAAAAAUUUUUCCAGAGACAGCUAUUUUUUCAUCAAACCUUUCAUACAAGCUUUCAAUUAAAAAACUAGUGAUUAUGCUACCUUUGCACGGUCAAUAUACCGCGGCCAUUUAAUCUCCUCAGUGGGCAGGUCAGACCUGAAAUCAUAAUCAACAAGCC
rnacentral:rRNA from 1 species